GAUGAACGCUAGCGGCAGGCUUAAUACAUGCAAGUCGAGGGGUAACAUGGUAGCAAUACCGAUGACGACCGGCAAACGGGUGCGCAACACGUACAGAACCUUCCUUUAAGCGGGGGAUAGCCCAUAGAAAUGUGGAUCAAUACCCCAUAGUAUUAUUGAUUGGCAUCGAUUAAUAAUUAAAGAUUUAUCACUUAAAGAUGGCUGUGCGUCUGAUUAGGUAGUUGGNGGGGUAACGGCCCACCAAGCCAGCGAUCAGUAACUGGUGUGAGAGCACGACCAGUCACACGGGCACUGAGACACGGGCCCGACUCCUACGGGAGGCAGCAGUAAGGAAUAUUGGUCAAUGGACGCAAGUCUGAACCAG
rnacentral:rRNA from 1 species